AGGCCGCCACAUAGCUCCCGCCAAGUCCUCGGUGCCCCUUGCCAUUUUCCAGCCGCGCUCCCACGAGGGUCACGGCGGCGGGGAGAGGUGGAGCCGCGAGAGCUCGGCCGGGGGCCCCGCCUGGUGGUCGCGGCCAUGACAGCGGCUCGGGACAGGCUCCUUUUCCGCGCCCCUCCCGCCGGAGGUGAGGGGAAGAUGUCCAUGUCCGGGUUCAAGGCCAAACCGAAGUUACUGGCCUCUAUCUUCCAGGAGAACCAGGAGCCACAGCCGCGGCUCACGCCCCACCGCAACAUUAAGAUUACAAGUGGACACCUGAGUCAGCAGGACCUGGAAUCCCAGAUGAGAGAGCUUAUCUACACGACUCAGAUCUUGUUGUCACCCCCAUUAUUGACAAUCCAAAGGUGCAGAAAGCACUCUGACAAAUAAUGAAACAACCACCAUCGGUUAAAUUUGAUGCAAAAAUAUUGCAUCUACCAGCAUUUUCAGGUAGGAUCAUAAAGGAGUUAUCGAACAUGUAGACUGUCUGUAUACAGAUACGAAUAUGAAAUUUAUUCACAAAUGGAAUAUUUGUAUGUGAACAACUAAAUUUAUUUUGUCUUGACAAUUGGUUAUAUUCUUGGGUC
ensembl:lncRNA ULK4P1 ULK4 pseudogene 1